CCCUCUCUCUGAAAGGAUUUAAAAACAAACGUCCGUCACAGAAUAAACUUUUGGGCGGCGGCCGUGACGGUACACUCCAACAGACCCCUCCAGCCAGGCUGCAACCAUACAGUCUGUGGCUGCGACAAAGAACAACAACGAGGAACACAACUGGGAAGCAGCCACCAAUCAGUUGUGUUCCUGCUGUGCAACUUAUUUGGAAGCUCCUGCCAGUGAUCAUUGCUUGUGAUCAAGUCCGAGUUCAUGUGAAUCACAACAGUUCACUUGAAGACAAAGUUCUUGGCGCAGUUGGACAAGUACUCCACCAAACUGCUGGAGGUCAUCAGGAGCAAGGGAGGAGUUGUGAAAGAGAAGACCACCAGGACCUUGCAGGUUUUAGAUGAGACUGUGGACAUCAACAUCAGAAGAGAAGGCAUCGUCAAAUCUCAGAUCUACCUGGGCAAACCUGUUCAGCACCU